rnacentral:rRNA from 1 species
UACGUAGGGUGCAAGCGUUGUCCGGAAUUACUGGGCGUAAAGGGCGCGUAGGCGGCACUGUUAGUCAGGCGUGAAAUUCCUGGGCUCAACCUGGGGACUGCGCUUGAUACGGCAGAGCUAGAGGAUGGAAGAGGCUCGCGGAAUUCCCAGUGUAGAGGUGAAAUUCGUAGAUAUUGGGAAGAACACCGGUGGCGAAGGCGGCGAGCUGGUCCAUUACUGACGCUGAGGCGCGACAGCGUGGGGAGCAAACAGG